rnacentral:rRNA from 1 species
UGGGGAAUAUUGCGCAAUGGGCGAAAGCCUGACGCAGCAACGCCGCGUGGGGGGUGAAGGCCUUCGGGUUGUAAACCUCUUUCAGCAGGGAAGAAGCGAAAGUGACGGUACCUGCACAAGAAGCACCGGCUAACUACGUGCCAGCAGCCGCGGUAAUACGUAGGGUGCAAGCGUUGUCCGGAUUUAUUGGGCGUAAAGAGCUCGUAGGCGGUUAGUCACGUCGGAUGUGAAACCCCGAGGCUUAACCUCGGGCCUGCAUUCGAUACGGGCUGACUAGAGUGUUGUAGGGGAGACUGGAACUCCUGGUGUAGCGGUGAAUGCGCAGGUAUCAGGAAGAACUCCGGUGGCGAAGGCGGGUCUCUGGGCAACUACUGACGCUGAGGAGCGAAAGCGUGGGGAGCAAACAGG